AUCCAGCUGAUGAGUCACAAAUAGGACGAAACGUGCGCCCUGGAU
rnacentral:hammerhead_ribozyme from 1 species